CAGCCCAAAACAGAUGCUUCCACAGGACAUGUAUCUUCACAGAGGCUUGAGGAUUUCACCUUUUUGGAAGCACUUUGGAUCUGUGAUGACUCAGUAUGGGGCAGAUGCAAUGGGAGACAGCCUGACGACAGAGGACAGAGGUGAUGAGCUAGCAUUUCAUCGAACAAUACCUCAGCCUGGCAGAGUCACCUGUGCUGAUGGAAGAAUCAGUGUCAUGCAGCAGCCCAGUAAUGGAGCUGGGAGAACCAGGUUCCCAAGCAGCAGUGAGACAAGCAGGCACUUGGACUUGCAGUUCUGAGUUACACAAAGCCCUCUGAGUUCCCACACGAGUGAGAUCUCUUUAAACCCUGCUUGCCGAGCCAUCGAGACCCCCUGGGUGGUUUAUCAGGAAACUGGCACCAUCAUUAGAGCAUAAUAAAAUAAAAUCAUUGUAAGGAAAUAGAAGAGCAUGCCGGUCUCGUUCUGAACAGAUCUGUAGCAUGGAAGGUGAUUGAACUGCACCAAGCUUUUAUUGAGAAAAAAAAAAAAACAAGAAGGCUCUGAAUAAAGAAAAGAAAUACAGAACUUCAGCAACACAGCAGAGGACAGAAAUGAAGUUUAUUUCACUGCCCUGGGAUAGCACAGGGAGAUGUGCUUGUAAGGAUGGUUGUUUGUAUAAAUAAAUGUUCAUUCUUGGCAGUGGAAUGCAAACUAUGCUGAAGGGCUGGAAACAGACCACUUUGUAAGGCUGAGGCCAGAGUAAGGGAAAGAUGAAGCGAGGUUGUGGAGAGGAAAUUCACAUUCAUUUUUAGCAACUUGGAGAGUUUCUCAAGCAUGUUUGACAUUUUUAAUUAUGCUGAUGUAGAGCCUAUUCAAGGACAAAAGAAGUCAGGAUUACAGGGGGAACAAUUAGGAAAUUUCACAGCUAGGGAUAUUGUUGCCUGUGGGCCUGGAGACUUUGCUGAAAUAUGGGAUCAUCUUUCCUACUUUCGAGACGAAUGGAAUUUGAGCAUCUUGCAGAAUCCUCCCCCAGGUCAGGAGCCUUAGAUCUGCACUGUUUUACUAAAGGUGCAUUUUUGAUGGCACUGGAAGGAGAUCAGUCUGAUCUGUUGCUUUGUGCCCAAGCUUUCCUGCAGGGCUUCCUGAGGAGGUGAGGAACAAUCUCACUGCAUCUGCACCAACUGUUUCAGAAUCCAUAACAAUUACAGUGGGAAAUAAGACCGCAUUUUCUUGUGGAGAAGAGGAUCAGCUCUGCUGCAUCAAAUCACACAGCCACGGCCUGUUUGUCCACCCUCCACGCUCAGACUGUUGUACAUCGUGGCCACAGCAUCUCGUUUUGUUUGGGUACCACUGGAGGAGGGCUGUGAGUGCUCAUUCACCAGCCUUCCCUGCUGAAGAACUCGCAAGGACAUCCACCUGUAUUUCAGUUCCUGUCUCGGUGUGACACGCACAGCACUGGAAUGGCAGGAGUUUACCAUUUGUUGCUGAGCAGAAACACUUUGGAAAAAAAAGAUGAGAGGUUUUUAAUGCACCCCUGCUCUAUUUGCCCAAGAUCCCAUGCCUUGUGUGCUAAUGCGAGGGCUGCUACUCGUACUUUUAAGCGUGGUACAAUUGAAUAGGAACCUGCAUUCUCUUUGAGCUAAUGGAAAGUCACAGUGGAGGUAUCCAGCUUCUGGGCAUGAAUAAAUCAUCAAGGGUAUGAAUUAUUCAGUGAGCAUCCCCACAGCAUGUGCUGCAUUCAGACUCAAGAGGCAGAAUCCUCACUGUGUGGGUUUUUAUCCCCCAAAAUUACAAAUGUACGACAGGCUAAUGAAUCUAAAUAUUCAAAUGAAAUCUUGGGAAAUUAGAUUAGAAGAAUAAUUUAGUAAAAAAACAACAACAGAACAGUAAAAAGGUGCAUGAAAGAGCUGAGGUACUUCAGCCUGGCUACAGCUACAAUGAUCAGAUGUUCUUCUUAGCUCGGUGACACCGUUGAAUCAAGCUGUCCACAACAGUCAGAAUCACACUGGGAAAUAUGAAUAAAUAGUGGCUCAGGAAAUUGGAAACACCGGUUGGAGGAAAGAGCUGAAAUGAUGUGGGCACACAAACAGGGCAGAAACCGACCUGUGCCUCUAGCAUCUUGUGUGUGGUUCUGGGGGUAAAUUAGAAGGGGCAUCACCAAACCAGACAUGAAUCCACUCCGACACAGGCUGGAAGAAAUAAAAAAGCCCAAUGCACUCAACAGCCAGGAAAUGGCUGGUUCAUCCCUCACAGGAAAUGAGUCACCCGAAAGCAACUGCGAGGAACAGCGAAGACAGGGAAGUUCUGAAAUAACACGAGCUGAUAACAGCGUAACACGUACAGAUAAGUCCUUCAUUUUGUCAUUCAUUAGCAAGGAGGCAAGAAAGGCAAAACUUCAGAUUCUGUGUUAUUCUUGCAAUUUUAAUUUGGUGUAAAUACUUGCAGCACAAAACCAGACCAGGGGACAGAAGGUUCCAGUGCUGCUGAACGGUGGAUAUUGUAAAAUGGCAGCACUAAUGAGAAGUUUCACGUGCAGAUAAAAUUGCUUGCAAAGUGCUAACCAUCUCUGUCCUUGGAAGGGAAGCAUCACAUUGCUGUGUGGCACAGCAAACACAACAUUCAGUUUUGCAGCUCAAGCUGCUUUGAAACUUUUUUUUUUCCUGUCCAAUAUUGAAAAUAUAUAAAGCUCAAUUCCAAAACGAUGCAUCAAUCACCUACCAACUGGUCCCCUUUUUGAUAACUCUACAGUGCCAAACUCUUCUGGAUCAGGGGAAAAAAUACUUCCUUUGCUAAUGAUGAAUGCUGCUGGUAAAACUGAAAGCCUACCGUUAGGAAACGACCUCAGCACCGAGCCAGCACAGUUUGUGUGCUCACCCCUCUUCCUCCAGUAACCCAGCUCUCUGCCUGUGCAGCUUGUAACUCCUGUCCUGCAGUGCUGCUGGUCCCCCUUCCUCUCCAUUCCUCAGGCUGAUCAGCAGACACACAGGUCUUAUUUUGGAGUGAUGAACACAGCAGUGAGAUUGCUCUUUCUCUUCUAGCUCCAGCCUAACCAUUUCCAGGGCUGUGAUGUGGCAUCGUGAAUGAUGCACAUAAGAAUGUUCUUGGCAUCCCAAGAUGUUGCUAAAGCUGCAAAUAUUCUUUUAAACAAAACAGCCGUGUUAAUUGAAAGUGGCUUAAAAGAAAUAAGAGCAACAAAAAGAAACCAAGUUAUUUGAAACAUCCCCUGCCACUCCAGAUUGCACUGGGGCUAUACUAUAGCAGAGUUAUAAAUGAAAGUGUUUCCUGGUUUAGAAGUUUGCAAGGUACUGAGAAUAAAAAGGGAGAGGAGGGUGCAGGAAAGGAAUGUUUUGUCAUUGAAGCACUAUCCAGGAUAUACACUACAGACAGUUCAUUUUCCUCAUCAGAGACCACAUUUUUGGAGGGUUCCUGUUUUCAAUUCACUGAUAGAAGGGCAGGAUUUAGCAGUCAGCAGAAGGGGGAAAAAGCUUUCUAGUUUGCCAAGAAUACAGUUACACAGAAAAGCAUCCUGUGACCGUAGCACAGGCUGCAGGGCUAUUUAAAAACACAAAGAAAAAAAGGCAGGAAAAAGGUCCUUUUCAUUUCAGAGGGUUCUCUUCCCAGCGUGGUAAAUUAAACUCGGGCAGAUAACGCGGGCAGGAAGGGCUCAGAAAGAGAAAAACCUGGGUGUGCCUCUCCAAGGCCUUUCUGGCCAUGUGAGUAACUGGAGCUGGGGGAGGGUGGGACCUUGUGCUGGAUUCUACCAAAGAGGCUGAUUCAUAUUUUUUUCCUUCUCCUCCUCUUUUCUCUUUUCUCUUUUCCCCUUUUUCUUUCUCACGUGGCUAUUUUCACGUGGGCUUCUUUUUCAAAACAAAAAGAUACAGUCAGGUCAUUCUCCCAGAUACUGGCGUUGUUUGGUUUGGGGUUUUUUCUUUCUUCCUAAGGUAUUAUCUUGUUCUCAAAUGCAUUUUCCUGUUUGGCCCAGAGAAAUGCUGCGUUACACAAUAGCAUCCUUAGUCAGUUUGCUACCAUUGUGUCAAAAAAGAUACUGGAGUUUCAGUUAAGUAUUACAGUAAGAUGAUAAAAGGCUGCAUCAUCAGCAUUUCUGCUAGAGAAUCUGAGUAAGCUUGCACAAAUUUUAACAGUUUUUUUAGUUAGGCCACAACUGCACCAGAGGUCUUUGAAAUAUAAUAAACCCUUGAUGGCAUCCACCCAUGUUUGCUUUUCCAAAGAUAUCUGAAAAGCAGCUGGAAUAUCUGCACUUGCAAUAAACUAAUUUCAACAGCCACCAGAAAGUGAGAUGUUAGAUAAUAAGAAAUGAAACUCUUCCAUGUGAAACACAGCUUAAAAUAGGCACAGUUGGAGAAAGUGUGUUAUGGCUUGUGAGGCAGGAAUCAAAUUCCUGCUCUGCUUUGAUCAAAUCAGGUUUAACUCUCUGGCUCUCAGCUCAACGACUCUAAAGCAAAUCACACAGUCCCAUCAUUUUCCCCUUCUCUGACUCAUCUAAGUUGUAAAUCUCUUAUCAGUGGCACAAGCUAAGCUUCCUUUCAUAUGCAGUGCCUAGCAAAUUAACUUGCAUUUCAGAUGGGCCUUUGGUCCCUGUAGUAAUAGGGAAGCACAUAACUCUUCUCCAUUUUGAACUUUACUGUUGCAGCAAAGGGCAAAUGGCUGGGAGCCCGACGAAGCUGUUGAUAAAAUCUGAGCUCAUUGGGAGCUCUUGCGUGUCACAGAUGGUGCCAAGAGUGAGCUGACAAGCGAAGCAUCCCACCGCUCCAUGAGAAAACAGGGCUCUGGGCUAUAGGAACCAACACAGGAAUACGUAUUCAAGAAAAACUUACAGCUGGCUUCACAUUUUGAAUGUUGGAUUGUUUUUUUUUCUUUCUCCUAUAGUUACCUGUCUAGUGUAUGCUUCAGAAGGAAAUGAGAACGCAGAAGGCAUGCCCAUACCUGUCAGAACUACCUAACAUUAAACAGAAGCGCUGCCCAAGGACACGACUCCAUGUUUCAUCUGCACUUUUAAAUCUUUGCCCAAACCCUUUGCAGGUGCCACAGACACCGUUGUGUUACAGCUCCUAUGCUUCCAUCCAUGUGUUUGUUUACCGCUGACAACAGAGGCAAGAUUGGCAGAUGUGUACAAAUGUUUUCACAAAAAUGUCAGCAGUGGGUGUGCGAGUGAGGGAUGAGGGAUCCUUUCUGCAGCAAGACCAGUAUUAUGUUGCCUAGAAACACUCAAAACAGGGCUGCAGCUAAUGAAGCCAAGAUCAAUGUCGACCGAACGUUAGAUAUUUGAUUCAGUGCUACACAAGGGACUCGUAGGGAGGCCUGGGACAAUUAAUUUUUGUGCUGCAGUCAAAGGAUAGGGUUAUGACAAGCGAGGCAAAGACAAUAAAUAAAGCUGGUAGAAUUCCCAGCGAGCAAAUAUUGGCUAUAUUUAAACAGAAACGUGCAGCCUUUCAUCCACAUGGCGUGAGCAGG